CUGACUGACACAGACCUACUGACUGACUGACACAGACCUACUGACUGACUGACACAGACCUACUGACUGACUGACACAGACCUACUGACUGACUGACUGGCGGACACUGACUGACUGGCGGACACUGACUGACUGGCGGACACUGACUGACUGGCGGACACUGACUGACUGGCGGACACUGACUGACUGGCGGACACUGACAGAUUGACUGACACAGACAGGCCGACUCGGACGGAGGAGGAGGAAGAGUUAUUCUGGAUCUUUCUUUCUAUGUCAUCUGAGGAGAUGAUGCUCAUUCCCUUAGUCCCUCUCCUCUGGGUUAAGGGGACUGAUCCUGUGUUUCAUCAGUCAUUCUCUUAUCUGUUCAGCUGUUUGGUUCUUCAAGAGGUAAGAUAACUAUACACAAUGAGUACUGUUGGUGGUUACCUGUGAGGUUACCUGUGCAGGGGCCAGGUGAGGUGUUGUCUGCUCUUCAGUGUCAACCAAUCACAAUGGACCUCUAAGGGGAGUCUCCUGUGUGUGGAGGAAAACUCCAUGUAAACCAGCCAGUGGAACCAUCUCUGCUCCUGAAGUCCUAAUAUCUAUAGCAAUGGUUAUAAUGUAUCAAUGAUGGAUUCAUCCCCUCUGUGUUUUAUCUCUGGUUUCACCAUUUCUUUCUAUCUUAUGUUGGAUUUACAUCUAUAUUUGUCAUCUUUAUUUGCUGUUUUUUGUUUUUCAAGAAAUUCCAUCCAAGCACUUAAUUAAUUAAACAUAAGUUUAUUGAUGAGUCAUAUUGAUGGUGUGAUGAAUAACUUUUUUCCAUAUUUUUUACUACUGCUACAGUAGGCCUGGCUAUACACUAUUAUCACAUAUUCAUACGGUCAGUUUGAACAGUAGGCCUGGCUAGACACUAUUAUCACUUAUCAUUCAUACGGUCAGUUUGAACAGUAGGCCUGGCUAUACACUAUUAUCACAUAUUCAUACGGUCAGUUUGAACAGUAGGCCUGGCUAGACACUAUUAUCACUUAUCAUUCAUACGGUCAGUUUGAACAGUAGGCCUGGCUAGACACUAUUAUCACAUAUCAUUCAUACGGUCAGUUUGAACAGUAGGCCUGGCUAUACACUAUUAUCACAUAUCAUUUAUACGGUCAGUUUGAACAGUAGGCCUGGCUAUACACUAUUAUCACAUAUCAUUCAUACGGUCAGUUUGAACAGUAGGCCUGGCUAGACACAUCACUUAUCAUUCAUACGGUCAGUUUGAACAGUAGGCCUGGCUAGACACAUCACUUAUCAUUCAUACGGUCAGUUUGAACAGUAGGCCUGGCUAUACACAUCACUUAUCAUUCAUACGGUCAGUUUGAACAGUAGGCCUGGCUAGACACAUCACUUAUCAUUCAUACGGUCAGUUUGAACAGUAGGCCUGGCUAGACACAUCACUUAUCAUUCAUACGGUCAGUUUGAACAGUAGGCCUGGCUAGACACAUCACUUAUCAUUCAUACGGUCAGUUUGAACAGUAGGCCUGGCUAUACACAUCACUUAUCAUUCAUACGGUCAGUUUGAACAGUAGGCCUGGCUAGACACAUCACUUAUCAUUCAUACGGUCAGUUUGAACAGUAGGCCUGGCUAGACACAUCACUUAUCAUUCAUAUGGUCAGUUUGCACAGUAGGCCUGGCUAUACACAUCACUUAUCAUUCAUAUGGUCAGUUUGCACAGUAGGCCUGGCUAUACACAUCACUUAUCAUUCAUAUGGUCAGUUUGAACAGUAGGCCUGGCUAUACACAUCACUUAUCAUUCAUACGGUCAGUUUGAACAGUAGGCCUGGCUAGACACAUCACUUAUCAUUCAUACGGUCAGUUUGAACAGUAGGCCUGGCUAGACACCACUUAUCAUUCAUACGGUCAGUUUGAACAGUAGGCCUGGCUAGACACAUCACUUAUCAUUCAUAUGGUCAGUUUGAACAGUAGGCCUGGCUAGACACCACUUAUCAUUCAUACGGUCAGUUUGAACAGUAGGCCUGGCUAGACACCACUUAUCAUUCAUACGGUCAGUUUGAACAGUAGGCCUGGCUAUACACAUCACUUAUCAUUCAUACGGUCAGUUUGAACAGUAGGCCUGGCUAUACACAUCACUUAUCAUUCAUACGGUCAGUUUGAACAGUAGGCCUGGCUAGACACAUCACUUAUCAUUCAUACGGUCAGUUUGAACAGUAGGCCUGGCUAGACACCACUUAUCAUUCAUACGGUCAGUUUGAACAGUAGGCCUGGCUAGACACAUCACUUAUCAUUCAUAUGGUCAGUUUGAACAGUAGGCCUGGCUAUACACAUCACUUAUCAUUCAUACGGUCAGUUUGAACAGUAGGCCUGGCUAGACACCACUUAUCAUUCAUAUGGUCAGUUUGAACAGUAGGCCUGGCUAUACACCACUUAUCAUUCAUAUGGUCAGUUUGCACAUCAUAUUUGUUUUGAAGCAAGAAGUCAAAUAGAACACAGUUCCCUUGUUUGUUUACUGAAAGUUCUUCCUUUUUUUGUUGUAUUGUUUAUCAUGGAACUUCAGUUGUGUGUUGUCAGUGUGUACAUUACGGGCUCUUACUACAGUAUCCGCUAAACUGAACCCACUUGACAGGCAUGUGCAGGAAAUGUUUAGCCAAAAAUAAGUCUAUAAACAUGGAUAUAAUCAAAACCUGAAGGGUUGUUGGUAUGUUGGAAACACUGUGCAGCUUAAAUAUAGUUCUCUCUUACGAGGUUAUAGAGUGAUGGUCAUAGAUGACGUCAGGGCCAGUUUUCUAUUUUGUUCUCAGCUCUGAUUGGCUGAGACAUAGCGUUGAGGUUAAUCUUCUGGGUUAUGAUUGGCUCAGAGAUAGAGUUGAGAGUUAUGUACAACAGACUAAGGGGAAGAUACCCCUGGACACUCAUCUUGGUUCAGUUUUGCAUUGUCCUCACUAAUGGUUAAGGUUAGGAUUGGGGGAGGGGAUUAUAGCUGAUCCUAGAUCUGUACCUAGGGGAAACGUGAAGGCAUUCAAAUCUUUACCUCCACCUACCGAACAAUGUGGUAAUAUUGCGUUACAGGUUAGGUUACUCUCUUAGUCUUCUCACAAUCCUUCCAUAGUGAUUCUAAUACAAUUUUCUCAUGGCUUAUUCAUUUAAAAUGGUUUUGAAUGUUUAGAGAAGAAAGCAUGUCUCUUAUAGCACAAGCAAACAUAUACAGCUGUGUUUGUAUUCGUAGUGUCAGCAGAAGAAGUGACCAAGUGCCAUGUAAUGUUCAGUAAAACAUUAAUUGGUCAUUAUUUUCUGAAUCAACCACUAUCUUAACAGACAACUCUCUUCUGCCUUUGCUUAUCAUGCAUAUAUGCUAACCUCUACCUAUUUAUGUGUGUAUCUGUGUUUGUCAACAUCCAUAUAUUCAGGAAUAUGUGUAUGGGCACAUAUAUUUAUACUUGCAGCCAUAGAUGCAGUAUAUUUCAAAAGAUGUGUAGAGAUUUUUUUAUUUUCUUCCUUAAUGGUGUUUUUCAGUGUGACUUUGAUUUAAUGUUGUUUUUUUCGACGUGCAAGGAGAUGCUGCCAUUUGUGUUGAGGUAGAGUAAUUUAUCUUUUGUUCUUUUUUUUCCAAAUGAUUUUUCAUUUGGUAACUGAAGGUUAUGUUUUCACUCCAGGUGGCUGCCAACAGCUGUAUAUAAACAAGUAGUGGGACAAGACAACUGGAGGCAAAUCUGAUAGUGCUGGGUUUGGCAAAGUGACGCAGGAUGUAUCCCAAAUUACACCUUUUUCAAAAGUAGUGCACUACAUACUCUAGGGAAUAGGGUGCCAUUUGGGAUCCUUCAUUUUAAACUGUCAUCUUGAUUGACCAAUCUCCGACCGUCUGUCUGGAUGUGAUAACUACAUAACUCCAUAACUCCAGUGUGAGAAAUGACCGUCUGUCUGGAUGUGAUGAUAACUACAUAACUCCAUAACUCCAGUGUGAGAAAUGACCGUCUGUCUGGAUGUGAUGAUAACUACAUAACUCCAUAACUCCAGUGUGAGAAAUGACCGUCUGUCUGGAUGUGAUAACUACAUAACUCCAUAACUCCAGUGUGAGAAAUGACCGUCUGUCUGGAUGUGAUGAUAACUACAUAACUCCAUAACUCCAGUGUGAAAAAUGACCGUCUGUCUGGAUGUGAUGAUAACUACAUAACUCCAUAACUCCAGUGUGAGAAAUGACCGUCUGUCUGGAUGUGAUGAUAACUACAUAACUCCAUAACUCCAGUGUGAAAAAUGACCGUCUGUCUGGAUGUGAUGAUAACUACAUAACUCUGGAGGCCUGAUCAUGCAGUGUGAGAAAUGGUGGAAAAGCUUCUCCAUGCUUGUCACUGCUUUAUCCAGAAGACCUAGGACAAUUGGAUUUUCAGUUGAGCGGGUUUGACCUUACUCAUACUACUGACUUGUUAGCUGUUUUUGCACUAUUUUUCCUUCCUUGAAUCACUUUUGUCAGUUUAAGUUUGUUGUUUAUAUUUUUUCCUUUUACUUGUUUAUUUCUCUGAAGUACAAAAACAUGUUGGACAUGUUAACUGUGUGAUACGCCAGUAAUAUACUGACUGGCUUCAUUUUCAGAUUUGUUUUCAUUGCGCAUUAAUGAUAUUCUAUUUAUAUAUUUCAGAAGAAAGUAUAUUAAUUUAAAUUUAAAUUUAUUGCAAAUAAAUACUUUUAAUGUAUAAUUUAAGAAGAAUAGAAUUGUGCAUUUUAAGAUGUCUCCAAAACAAUGCUUGUACAUAAUGCCCAUUAUACAAACAUGAAAAUAAACAUUUCUGGUGGUAUA
ensembl:lncRNA